rnacentral:misc_RNA from 1 species
AUGUAAAGCAAUUGCACGGGUACCAAAUUGAAAUGCAUCCCAGUUUUGGAUGCAUGUGAAGCCAACAGAAUACACUAGCUCAACCAAAUCCAGUUGGUGUAACCCAUUAUGAGCUGAAUGUGCAUUCCUCAAUGAGAUGCCAUUUAAGCCUCAGUUCUUGAAGCAUUCAAGGGAUUGAUAGAGCUAGACCAUCCCUUUCUGUCUCAAUAUACCGGCCUGUUACCAUAGACAGUAGGCUAAUCAAG